rnacentral:rRNA from 1 species
CAGUAGCCGCGGUAAUACGGAGGGUGCAAGCGUUAUCCGGAUUUAUUGGGUUUAAAGGGUCCGUAGGCGGACUUAUAAGUCAGUGGUGAAAGCCUGUCGCUUAACGAUAGAACUGCCAUUGAUACUGUAAGUCUUGAGUAUAUUUGAGGUAGCUGGAAUAAGUAGUGUAGCGGUGAAAUGCAUAGAUAUUACUUAGAACACCAAUUGCGAAGGCAGGUUACCAAGAUAUAACUGACGCUGAGGGACGAAAGCGUGGGUAGCAAACAGGAUUAGAUACCCCUGUAGUCCCUGUCUCUUAUAC